GGGGUAACCAUAGGCGACAGGGAGUAUACACUUAACCUCUUCGCAGACGAUAUACUCCUCACAAUAACCAAUACGACAAUUUCACUCCCCAACCUCCACAAAGAAAUACUAGAGUACAGUACCCACUCAUAUUACCAGCUGAACCUAACCAAAACACAGGCCAUGUGCAUAAACAUGCCCAAAGCGGAGGAGGAACGUUUCAAACACAAUUUCAGCUAUGACUGGAGGAACGAUUACUUAACAUUCUUAGGCAUUAAGUAAACGAAACACCAUUCGGGCCUAUUCGCCACCAACUAUAUCAAGCUCCUCAAGGAAGUGGAGCGAACGCUACAAUCAUGGCAAAACAAGUUCC